rnacentral:rRNA from 1 species
GGGUUGUGAGGUUAAGCGACUAAGCGUACACGGUGGAUGCCCUGGCAGUCAGAGGCGAUGAAGGACGUGCUAAUCUGCGAUAAGCGCCGGUAAGGUGAUAUGAACCGUUAUAACCGGCGAUUUCCGAAUGGGGAAACCCAGUGUGACUCGUCACACUAUCAUUAACUGAAUCCAUAGGUUAAUGAGGCGAACCGGGGGAACUGAAACAUCUAAGUACCCCGAGGAAAAGAAAUCAACCGAGAUUCCCCCAGUAGCGGCGAGCGAACGGGGAGGAGCCCAGAGCCUGAAUCAGCAUGUGUGUUAGUGGAAGCGUCUGGAAAGGCGCGCGAUACAGGGUGACAGCCCCGUACACAAAAGCGCAUAUGCUGUGAGCUCGAUGAGUAGGGCGGGACACGUGGUAUCCUGUCUGAAUAUGGGGGGACCAUCCUCCAAGGCUAAAUACUCCUGACUGACCGAUAGUGAACCAGUACCGUGAGGGAAAGGCGAAAAGAACCCCGGCGAGGGGAGUGAAAAAGAACCUGAAACCGUGUACGUACAAGCAGUGGGAGCCCCACCACUAAGCCAGUGGUGAACUCCACAUACGCAUCCUUUGCUGAGGAUACGGUUAACGGAGCGAAAGCGACGUUCAACCGCAAAAGAAGCAGAGGGGGCUUAGUGGUGGGGUGACUGCGUACCUUUUGUAUAAUGGGUCAGCGACUUAUAUUCUGUAGCAAGGUUAACCGAAUAGGGGAGCCGGAGGGAAACCGAGUCUUAACCGGGCGUUAAGUUGCAGGGUAUAGACCCGAAACCCGGUGAUCUAGCCAUGGGCAGGUUGAAGGUUGGGUAACACUAACUGGAGGACCGAACCGACUAAUGUUGAAAAAUUAGCGGAUGACCUGUGGCUGGGGGUGAAAGGCCAAUCAAACCGGGAGAUAGCUGGUUCUCCCCGAAAGCUAUUUAGGUAGCGCCUCGUGAACUCAUCUCCGGGGGUAGAGCACUGUUUCGGCUAGGGGGCCAUCCCGGCUUACCAACCCGAUGCAAACUGCGAAUACCGGAGAAUGUUAUCACGGGAGACACACGGCGGGUGCUAACGUCCGUCGUGAAGAGGGAAACAACCCAGACCGCCAGCUAAGGUCCCAAAGUCAUGGUUAAGUGGGAAACGAUGUGGGAAGGCCCAGACAGCCAGGAUGUUGGCUUAGAAGCAGCCAUCAUUUAAAGAAAGCGUAAUAGCUCACUGGUCGAGUCGGCCUGCGCGGAAGAUGUAACGGGGCUAAACCAUGCACCGAAGCUGCGGCAGCGACACUCAGGUGUUGUUGGGUAGGGGAGCGUUCUGUAAGCCUG